AUAACGCUCCGCAGCUGAGGGGAAGGAUUGGACUGGACAGACAAUUUGUUCUGCUGAACUGAAAGUUGGCUAGCCUUCACUUCCUCUUCUGGUGACUCAGGCACAGUGGGCAACACACUUUUGCUCGGAGCCUGUUCCAUUCUUGAGCAAUACACAGAGCCCAGGGAUGUGGUGCAAUACUACAGAGGAGAAAUUAAGUAAAAAUCUACUCCCAAAACAAAGAUGCAGCUGUUCUCUUAGUUACAUUGGCAGAUUGUGUGUUGUCAAUGUUGACUAUUGCUUAGGGAACCACAGUAUAUCAGUGCAUGGCCUCUGCCUGGCCCUUUCGCACAAUUGUAACUGUAGCGGUCUGCAAAGAUAUGAAAGGAACAUCUGUGAGAUAGAUACUGAAGACUGCAAAUCUGCGUCCUGCAAAAAUGGAACAACUAGUACACAUUUAAGGGGAUAUUUCUUCCGCAAGUGUGUCCCAGGAUUUAAAGGCAAGUUUUUUUUUUCCUGAUAAAUUAAAUUUUCUAGU
rnacentral:lncRNA from 1 species